UUCCUUGCCCCAGCAGGCUGCUUGUGUCCUGGUGAUGCACGGUGACGAGAAGGCUGCUGUUCUGAACAGCACAAGGCAA
rnacentral:lncRNA from 7 species